rnacentral:rRNA from 1 species
UACGAAGGGGGCUAGCGUUGUUCGGAAUUACUGGGCGUAAAGCGCGCGCAGGCGGUUCUUUAAGUCAGGGGUGAAAGCCCAGAGCUCAACUCUGGAAUUGCCUUUGAAACUAGAGAACUUGGGUACGGGAGAGGUGAGUGGAAUUCCGAGUGUAGAGGUGAAAUUCGUAGAUAGUCGGAAGAACACCAGUGGCGAAGGCGGCUCACUGGCCCGUUACCGACGCUCAGGCGCGACAGCGUGGGGAGCAAACAGG